AAGGACUACUGCAGAGAGAUACCUAGCAGCCAAGCAUCAUGAUCAUUCAAACUACGAGCCUGCUGCAACAAGGACGCCAAACUAAUUGAGGAAUGAAACAAGAUUGGUUCGCCACAAAAACAACUGUGUCAGCCCAGCAAGGCUCAAUGUCGUGCUUAUCCAACAUCUGAGAUCUGUUGUGAGAUAAGAAUAUGCUACUCAUCACAAUUGAUAAGUGACUGGUUGCAGUAGUCUUCAUACCAAUGCAACAUAUAACAGCUAGCGUAGCCAUGCCAGAAACGGGAAGUCUGCGUUGCUUUAUCAGAAUAACUACGACUCCACGACAGCUCUACACUGUGAGGUUGGGCGAGCAUUUGUCCUGCAUUGUGAGGCUGGGUGAGCAUUUGUCCUGCACUGUGAGGCGAGGUGAGCAUUUGUCCUGCACUGUGAGGCGAGAGCUGGGAAGUUCACUUUGAAGUUCAGGACCGGGUAGCACGUACGACCGUUCUUCACUACUGGGUGGAGUCAAGAAUGGAGAC